rnacentral:rRNA from 1 species
ACGGGUGCGUAACGCGUGGGAAUCUGCCCUUGGGUUCGGAAUAACAGUUAGAAAUGACUGCUAAUACCGGAUGAUGUCUUCGGACCAAAGAUUUAUCGCCCAAGGAUGAGCCCGCGUAAGAUUAGCUAGUUGGUGGGGUAAUGGCCCACCAAGGCGACGAUCUUUAGCUGGUCUGAGAGGAUGAUCAGCCACACUGGGACUGAGACACGGCCCAGACUCCUACGGGAGGCAGCAGUGGGGAAUAUUGGACAAUGGGCGAAAGCCUGAUCCAGCAAUGCCGCGUGAGUGAUGAAGGCCUUAGGGUUGUAAAGCUCUUUUACCAGGGAUGAUAAUGACAGUACCUGGAGAAUAAGCUCCGGCUAACUCCGUGCCAGCAGCCGCGGUAAUACGGAGGGAGCUAGCGUUGUUCGGAAUUACUGGGCGUAGAGCGUACGUAGGCGGUUACUCAAGUCAGAGGUGAAAGCCCGGGGCUCAACCCCGGAACUGCCUUUGAAACUAGGUAGCUAGAGUCUUGGAGAGGUUAGUGGAAUUCCGAGUGUAGAGGUGAAAUUCGUAGA